rnacentral:lncRNA from 1 species
CCUUCCUCCACAUCCUUCUGACCCCAAGGCUGAGGUCGUUCCCGUCUAUCUCCCCUGUGUGUGCGCGUACAUCGUCGGCAAGCGUGAGGAGGGGUUGCCGCAGUUGCUUCUUCGCCUUCUCCCAUCUCACGUCCCCAUCGCCGGACGCCUCGCCACGUCUCUCACCUUGCCCCUCUCCAUGGUAAACUUCAGUCCUCCCCUCUCCCCUGCUCUUUUAAUUUCUUUUAUCCUUAAUGUUCUUCCUUUGAUAAAUCUAAGCCGUGAAUUUGCACAAAUCUGGCUAAAUUUCGUGCUCUUAUCUCUUCCAUCUCGGUGGUUUCUUCUGUAGGUGCAUCGCGGAACUAUUUCUGGAGGCCGUCGCCACCGCAUUAGUUGCCGGAUGGUCUUCCCCUGCUCCAUUGUAAGUAAAAAAAACAUGCUUUUUCUGUGGGGCUAUAUAGGUACCUCUGGCCGGAGCUGAUAUUGGGUGUUCUGUUUACCUCAGAGACGAGUUCCCAAGAAAUGCUCUUUGUUUAUUGCCUUUUUGCAUUCUUUUGCCGUGUAUGGAUUUAUUCAUUUUACAUGUUGCAAGAAAUGGCUUUGUUCUCUAUGCUAGCUCAAAGUUUAGAUGCUGCUGCUAGGUGUGCUAUUAGCAACCACAUUGGUUAAGUCACUGAAAACUGAAAAGAUUAAUGUCACUGUAAUUUUCAUCCUUGCUAGGUGCUUUAGGAUAUGCAGUGUAUGCAUGUGAAGACGUGAAGAUGUUGACUCUUUUUCCUUGCUAGCUGCUUCAGGAUAUGCAGUGUAUGUAUGUGAAGAUGUACUCUUCUUUUUAGAUCACUGAUGCUACUUGCGCCGUACUAUUCGAUGCCCAAUUCAGAGUUACGUAACAGGCUGACUGCUUUCUCUUAGAGAGAGAAAAAAUGCUAUCAUUGGCUGCGGCGAUCACCACGCACAACGGCGGCUGGCGUUCCUUUUUCUCUUGCCCCGCUCUUCGCUGGAUCCAACUCUCAAAGCAACAUGCUAAUUAAUGGCUAUUGCCGUUGGUCAUGAUUUUUUCUGCUGAUUUUUUCAUCUUCCUAUGGAUUUGUUUCUUCCUAUAAAUACUUCCCAUCCCAGUGCCAGUGCUGGUAGAUGCAGAUUUACAUCAAUUUGCAAUUAGCCAAAGCAAAAUCUAGGCUGAUGGUUCAAGGUCUCAAAAAAUUCAUGUAACUUUCAAAUCCUUUCCUCUUUGGCCCUUGUACUGUGGUCUAUUCUUGGUUUUCCAGUGAAUCACUCUUCUUUUUUUACAUGUACGAUGUGUGCUUGUGCAGGCGCUGCUUUUAGGAGACAAUGAUUCCGGAACAGAUGAGUGAGGAUCAUAACUGGAUGGUUUCAUAGUUGGAUUUCUACCUGUCCAACAGAUUCAUGUCAUCUGGCUAUUUUUCUGUAAGUAUAUUUCCUAAUAAGCAUCUCUGAAUUGUCAAGUUGUGAAGAAAAAAAGGAUAUCACGUUGCUCGAGGCAUGAAACCUAGUGCCAGAUUAUAAAGUUUCAUAUAUACUUUUCUGGUUUUAUUCAUAUAUCAUAUGGUGUGUCCACAAAUGGCACUACUGCAUGAGAUGCAUUAAUUCUGAACAUGCAAGUCUAGGACAGUGCUGCUCCAGUGACAAUAUAUGUGUCACAAUGAGCUGAGUUUCCAACAUAUCUAGUCAGCAGUUGGAUGAGUACUAUUUUCUCCUUAGUGGCUGCUGCCAGGUAGUGUGUUUCUUAUGUGGCUUUGUGCUGGCUGGCUAUAAUUAUGUAGGUGAUGCUGCUGAUCAUGAACCUAGGUAACACAGAAAUUGUGUAUUUAGUCGCCAUUUCUCUGUGCAAUGUGAUGGAUGAGAAUAAGAGUGGUGCCAUGUAUAUGUAGAACUAUUGUUGCUUUUGAGGAAAAGCCCAAGAAGCAAAUUAGGCUAUGACUCAAAUAAUCAUCACCAACUUUGUCACGCAAAGCAUUCUUCACAAUAGUCAUAGCUGGAAAACAUGUCUCAACAUUGGCAGUGGCAACUUGGAGAGUCAGUGCUAGCUUGAAAAGCCGAUAUACCAAAGGGUAGGAGAGAUGCUUCCUUGUAUCCACCAUCAGUUUAGCAAUCACCUAUUUUGUCCAAGCUAGAAAACCUUCUAUCAUGGGUUACAUUAUUUAUGUAGAUACUAAGUUCAUGUUCAAGAGUAACAUAUCUCUGUGACUAAAAUCAUCAGGAUAAAGCUUAGCUAAUUCCAGCAACUUCUUGUCAAAAAAACAAAAUAAAUCACCUUUGCUCAAAGCAGACCCAUUGGUGGCGGCAGCCCCUGGGUUGUGGUGUUGCCAUCUCUUUAUUUCCUUGUCAAAUAUUGCUUCUUCAUUAAUUUUGUACAUAAUUUUGUAGGGGAAGAUGAUUCGUCUAUGUUAUCUUCAAGGACGACGCUAUGGAUGAUCACAUCGGCAAUGGCAUCACUCGAGUUUGCAACAUGACUGAGAACAUGAUGAUAACAACUAUGCAUCCGGAGGAGGAUCUCACUAGUCCGUUUGCACUUCAACUAAUGAGCGACAAUCGUAUGGUAUUUUGUUGCAGCAACUGUUAUAUGGAAUAUGAUGGAUGAGAAAUAGUAAAAUGAUGCGUAUGUAUGUGAUGCUGCUGAUCAUGAAUCUAGGUGACUUAGAAGUGUGUGUGUGUGUGUUUUGUUUCAUUGCCCUGUGCAAUGCGAUGGAUCAGAAUCAGAGUGGUUUCAUGUAUGCGUAGAAAUGUUUUUGCUUUUGAGCAAGUCCAUGUACAAAUUCUCGUAUGUCAAUUGCUGGAUGUUGAAACAUAGUUUAAUAUAUCGGUAUGUAUGCAAACACUGAUUUUGGACGGCUUUCCUAAUAUAUGGGCUAUUGGAUGUAUGCUUAUUUAUCACUGAAUAUUUAUUGACAGGUUAUAG